UAAUGUGAACUAUAUGUUUUCAUCAUUUUUUAAAUAUUUUUAGGUGAUAAAGGACCUGCUGGGCCACCUGGGGUCAAAGGCGAUCAAGGAGAGCGAGGUCCACGUGGUGCCACUGGUGAGCCAGGUCAGGUCGGACCAACAGGGCCUCCUGGUGAGAAAGGUCUUAAAGGAUCAGCAGGUAGGUUUCAUCACAGAAAGAGAAACUUGAGUAAAAGAAAGCCUGUAA
rnacentral:lncRNA from 1 species